AGGAUUGUCAUAAAAAACAUACUCUGGAUUAUAUAUAUAAAAAAGAAUGGGUUAUGUUGAGCUUGGCUGUCAGAAGAUGCAUCUGCUGACACUUAUAUUGCUCUUAUCCUUCAGGUUACUAUCGUGCUCAAGAUGUUUAGGCAAAAAUUGAUGUACCGGCACUACUAAUUCCUGUGCUUGAAGAAACAUUUUCCGAUUUCAGGUUCUAGAGGGCUCCUGGGCUUGCCACUACGUACUGCAGAUGCAUACUAUGCAUGGCAAAUGAUGAUCAAGCCUUGUCCACAUGCCAACAGGUUCCCCUUUUUACUGCUCUAAUCUGAUUGAGUUAAUAUUACUUGCCAUGGUCAGAGUUAAUGUUAAUUGCCGUGGUUUGGUCAAGGUAUCAAUUGUUAUGUAAUUCGAACUAGACAACUAUGUCAUCACUUCUGAACGUAGAAAUGCCAAUGAUCAAGGCCAUGUCAAUGGUUUAGUGUAUUGGUUGCUUCUUCUUGAAUAUUUGUCCAAUUAUAAACAUUUUAGUUGAGUUUCAGAAGUUCAAAAACAUAAAA